rnacentral:misc_RNA from 1 species
AAGUCGUAACAAGGUUUCCGUAGGUGAACCUGCGGAAGGAUCAUUAACACGUUAUUUAUAACGUUUAUCAACCAAUAGCGAACUGUUUUCAAUCCUCCCUUCACUACAUGUCGGAAUGGACGAUCAUCUUCAUUCGUGCGAUCAUUUAUGACCGUUCAAUGGGGACGUCGGAUCUGUGCAUGGAAGGCCAAACCCCACGGAUACUCUUCCUCGGUAUGAGGGGGGUAGACGUACAUUUAAACCAUUUUCACCCUACUUUAAUAAGUUGACUCAUAACUGUUGGUUUGGUGCUUGCAUCGAAUCAGCACGUUUAAUCUAAUUAAACGUUAAACAAUUACAACUCUUAGCAAUGGAUGUCUAGGCUCUC